UUUGAUUUGACAAUCACAUUAACAUCAUGAAUUGUAAAUAGAUGGAAAAAUUAGGGCACAGAUUCUGAUGCCUAUCCACACUGCUCAAUUUUCUGUGUGAAUAUCAGAGAAUUUAGGAGGAUAAGACAAAAUUGUAGGAAAGACAACUUAUAAGAAAUCUAAAUUUCCAAGAUAAUGUAUAUGUAAGAAUAUGUACAUAUGUAAUUUUACCUACAGAGCAUCUUUCCCAUCCGUUUUGGUACAAUAAAGCUGGAAAAUGUACCAUUACUGUUGUUUAACAGGGAUAGAUUCUGAGCAACAAAGAAAAGUAUAAUACCAUAUUAACUAAAUAAUUGAAUUAAACAAGAGUGUAAAGAAGUGAGUAGUUCCACUCUUUGUACUGCUAGUGAUAUAAACUCCAUGAAAAAAAUCCCCAUAUAGGAAUUGUAUAUGCAAUUUAUUACACUUCAUUCAUUUAUUCUUUCUAUCAAUACUGAUCCCCUAUCAUACGUUGAGUAGUAUACUUCAGUGUUCCUAGCCAGAUAGUAUAGCUAGAGGAACUUAAUAUGGUAGUUAAAUGGAGAGUUUUCCUCUAAGUUGCCAUAACAUUGCUUUGCAAAUAGUUCUGUGCAAUUGAAAGAACCUGGACUGGCUGCAAUUUUGUCCCCACUUGCUUUUGACCUUAGAUGGGACACUUGGUUGUUCUUUCCCUUAGAAUCCACCUCUUGGGGACUGGGAUGAUAAUCUCAACCAGUCACAGGUUUGUGGGAAAAUCAAGUGAGACAAUUUACGUUACAGGUGGUUAAAAAUAAAUUAGAGUCACAAAGCCAUGGUUCGAAAAAAAUACUAUUUUAGUUUAACUGGAAAUAAUUGUGGUUGAGGCUGUAGCUGGCACCCUAGCUGAGCUCAAAUCCUGAAGUUAAGAGUUGCUGCAUUGGGCCCUUGCUUGAUUUUUAUUAGAAAAGAAUAAAUCAUUCUGCAAUUUACUGCUACAAAAAGAGAAACUCUCCUUACUGUAGUGGAACAUAUUACAUAUUAUAAAAACCAAGUUUAGAUACCAAUUAAGCAAAUAAAUAUUUAGUGAGCAUUUAUCCUUUACCAAUGACUCUUUUUGUGAAGACACAAAGAUGAACAAGCUCUGAUCCCUGACUCUGAGAAGUUCAGUUCUGAGAAGUCUAUUUCCCAUGUCCCCACACCUCAUCUGUACGUGAAGAUAAGCCAGAUGGUCUUGAAGGGCUCACCUCAUCCCAAAAACCAGUGGUUCCACACCCAGAUCACAGGAGGUGAGCUACCUGCCCAACUAGCGACAUGGAAUCUUCAGCUUACUCAAUUAUUGAAAUAAUUGAGUAACAAUAAAUAGCCUUUGUCUUUUGCAGGUGGAAAUCAAAGAAUUUCACAGAAAUCAGUAAUUGUCAGAAACAUCGAUAAUUUUACUUUUGUACCCUUUAAUUAUUUUGCACACAAAAUAUGUGUAGGUUAACCAAGCAAUUAAAUAAAACACACAUACUGAUUUGAAUUUUUAUACCAGAAGCACUUCAUAUGUAACAAUGCGUAUAUCUGGUAAUAAGGAAAGGUAAUUUCUAUGAAUACGGGCUCAGUAAAUGUUUGCAGAAUGAUUGGUAAUGAAUUAAUUAACUGAAUCAUUCCCUUCCUUGUCAAAUAGGAAUUAUGCAAACCAAACUACUUUUGUCAUCAGUUGCCAUGAGAUUAAAAGACAUUGAAAUGAUGCACGUAAGAAAAAAUUUCAAAGUUAAAAACAACUAUGCAAGUGAUAGAAUAAUUGGCUUCCAACUCACGGAGGACAAGGCACAAUAUGUGAUUUUUCUGGCUGCCAGCGACAACCUUCUAGGGUAUUUGUAAUAACAAGAGGAGGCUUGUGAAGCAAUUAGCAGGGUGCCAGGCAAAUAGCAAGUGCUCAAUAAAUACAGCAUCAUCUUUCAAUUAUCUAGCUUUAAGUUACCAUAUUUUCCUUUUAGAGACUACAUCUCUAGGAAUCAUCACACCAGGCAACAGAUUACAGGUCCCACCUGAAGCCUAUGUAGACAUUUCUGCUUCCACACCCACAAAGAGAAUUGAUGCACCAUGUCAGAGAAAACUGUUUUAUAUGUCUUUGGACAAAUUUACCCCAGUUUGACUUCUGCUGCUAAGACUCCAGCUUGCAGAGCUCUGCCAGGCCUGAGCCCCAGCACGUUGUGAGAUGCUUUAUAUAGAAGAGCACUGAUGACCCAAACAGAUUAAAGGUCAGUGAAGUUAAGCCUGGGGUAAUUGUUCUCUGAACUCUGGCACAUUCUUACUGGGUUUCUGCUGUUUUACUGCAUGUGACCCUUUGUUUAUGGUUUAGCAAGGGUUGUGAAAUUCUGAACACAGUUUCAAGAAAUUACAAGAAGAGUGGUGAAUUCUCUUUUCAUGAGUCAAAUCCCAAUUCUUUUCAUCUUCAGGUUUUCUUCCUUGAGAAUUACAGUAGUUGAGAUAUGUUUGCAAUAGAUAUGUUGAACUCUUAUGAAAAUCCAGAUGGAUGAAGACACCUAUUUUUUUCAAUGCUGUGUGAAUAUCCAGAAUUACUAACAUAUUAGAAAUUUUGCAGUUUUCUGAACAUGUAAAAUUUCUUGGAAGAAAUUAGAAGAGAGCCUCUUGAUCACAAAAAAUAUAAAUUCUGCCUAUGGUACAGAUUUUCAAAAAUGCCUGUAUAUAUGUAUAUACAUUAGGUAUGGUCUUUAUUCACUUAAUUUAAAUUUUAAAUUGAUAGAUAAAACUGUAUAAAAUUAGGGUAUUAUCUUCAAAAGAGAUGAAAAUUUUCUGAAAACCUGCAGACAAAAAGUUGAAAGGCUAAUCCUGCUAUUCUGUUUUGCUUUAUAACAAAUAUUUUCCUAUUCACCGUAAGUUUUUCUGGAAAAAAAAUAGCUGUAAGUCAGAGAUUCUUACUUAAUUAACUAAAACCAAUUAUAUCAGAGCAAGCUUCUUUUCCAUCCUACAAACACGCAUAAAAAUACACAUACAAAAUGUUUUCACUUAUGAAUAAGCAACCUGAAGAACCACGAAAGCACUAAAUUGGAUGUUGAUUUCAAAAUACUCGUUUUGUCACCCCCAGGUUAGUGAGACUGCCAAGGGUAUAUGCUCUCUGGGUAGA
rnacentral:lncRNA from 1 species